rnacentral:rRNA from 1 species
GGGUUGUGAGGUUAAGUGACUAAGCGUACACGGUGGAUGCCUAGGCAGUCAGAGGCGAUGAAGGGCGUGCUAAUCUGCGAAAAGCGUCGGUAAGGUGAUAUGAACCGUUACAACCGGCGAUACCCGAAUGGGGAAACCCAGUGUGUUUCGACACACUAUCAUGUCAUGAAUACAUAGUGGCAUGAGGCGAACCGGGGGAACUGAAACAUCUAAGUACCCCGAGGAAAAGAAAUCAACCGAGAUUCCCCCAGUAGCGGCGAGCGAACGGGGAGGAGCCCAGAACCUGAAUCGGCUUGUGUGUUAGUGGAAGCGUCUGGAAAGUCGCGCAGCAAAGGGUGAUAGCCCCGUACACUAAAAUGCACAGGUCGUGAGUUCGAUGAGUAGGGCGGGACACGUGACAUCCUGUCUGAAUAUGGGGGGACCAUCCUCCAAGGCUAAAUACUCCUGACUGACCGAUAGUGAACCAGUACCGUGAGGGAA